UAGGGAAUCUUCGGCAAUGGGGGCAACCCUGACCGAGCAACGCCGCGUGAGUGAAGAAGGUUUUCGGAUCGUAAAGCUCUGUUGUAAGAGAAGAACGUGUGUGAGAGUGGAAAGUUCACACAGUGACGGUAACUUACCAGAAAGGGACGGCUAACUACGUGCCAGCAGCCGCGGUAAUACGUAGGUCCCGAGCGUUGUCCGGAUUUAUUGGGCGUAAAGCGAGCGCAGGCGGUUUAAUAAGUCUGAAGUUAAAGGCAGUGGCUUAACCAUUGUUCGCUUUGGAAACUGUUAAACUUGAGUGCAGAAGGGGAGAGUGGAAUUCCAUGUGUAGCGGUGAAAUGCGUAGAUAUAUGGAGGAACACCGGUGCGAAAGCGGCUCUCUGGUCUGUAACUGACGCUGAGGCUCGAAAGCGUGGGGAGCAAUCAGG
rnacentral:rRNA from 1 species